GAUGAACGCUGGCGGCGUGCCUAAUACAUGCAAGUCGAGCGAACGGACGAGAAGCUUGCUUCUCUGAUGUUAGCGGCGGACGGGUGAGUAACACGUGGAUAACCUACCUAUAAGACUGGGAUAACUUCGGGAAACCGGAGCUAAUACCGGAUAAUAUUUUGAACCGCAUGGUUCAAAAGUGAAAGACGGUCUUGCUGUCACUUAUAGAUGGAUCCGCGUUGCAUUAGCUAGUUGGUAAGGUAACGGCUUACCAAGGCAACGAUGCAUAGCCGACCUGAGAGGGUGAUCGGCCACACUGGAACUGAGACACGGUCCAGACUCCUACGGGAGGCAGCAGUAGGGAAUCUUCCGCAAUGGGCGAAAGCCUGACGGAGCAACGCCGCGUGAGUGAUGAAGGUCUUCGGAUCGUAAAACUCUGUUAUUAGGGAAGAACAUAUGUGUAAGUAACUGUGCACAUCUUGACGGUACCUAAUCAGAAAGCCACGGCUAACUACGUG
rnacentral:rRNA from 1 species